UGAUAGAAGUGUCGACGAAGACAUCAACAGAAAUAAACAUGAUGAAAACAAACCUUCAUUUCUUGGUAGCAUUUUGGAAAAAAACAAGUGCUUGAAUAACAAAUGUUCAUACAAGAAAACUAAUAGAAUGAUAACUUAUUAAAUAAAAGAUGAUGAUUUGAAAAAUUCUCAUGAAAAUACAUUUAUAUUAGAUUUCUGCGAGAUUUCGUCCAGUAAAUGUCCAAAUUGUUUUGGAAAAACUGAAAUCUGCAUAGAUAAAAUAGGUGAGAUAAUGAUGUUUAGCAUUUUUAACGAAGAGGAGCAAAACAUUCAAUUCCGAUUGAAGGAUUUUCACAAGAAAAUCGAAAAUCCUUUGAACGAGACUGAGCCGCUAUAUCUCACUGGAGUGGUCGGAUACAUUGGUCCAUCGGGUCCUCCACGAGUAUUAAGAAAAUCAAAUGAUGCACUCCUUGAUAAUGGUGAGGAUGAACCACUUGGACAUUACAUUAGUUACUCCUAUCGCCGAGAGAUGGAUGUUGGAUGGCAGCCGAUGAUAAUGAGAAAAAUCAGAAGACAAAAUAUUGAAAUGAUUCCCACAAAGUAGUACCAAGAUUGAUUAAGUAUGCUAAACGAAGAGAUGAAGUAAAAUAAAGUUGUCGAUGUUCUGUUGUUGACUAAUGUAAAAGUGCUUUAUUUUCAGAAAAUUUUUAAUUCAUUUCGCUUGUCCCUAUUAUCGUAAUUAAUGAUGAAAUUUGUGGUUACAAUAUUACCAAAGCCUCGUUCAAACGAUAAAUUCCAAUAUUUACAAAUUGAUCGUAAUUACAACUUUUGCUUUAUAAA